GGGGCUAUGGCUCAGUGGUAGAGCAGUGGUCUCGUAACCAGGUGGUCCUGGGUUUGAAAGCCAAGUAGACUCA
rnacentral:tRNA from 1 species